UUCUUCUCAUGUGCCUCUAGAGAUCCAAGCAGCUCAGCAUAGGAGUGCUCCAGAAGUUUCCAUGCUUGAUGUGCUGAGUUUGCAGAGAGAAUCUUGU